rnacentral:rRNA from 1 species
GACGAACGCUGGCGGCGUGCUUAACACAUGCAAGUCGAACGGAAAGGCCCUGCUUUUGUGGGGUGCUCGAGUGGCGAACGGGUGAGUAACACGUGAGUAACCUGCCCUUGACUUUGGGAUAACUUCAGGAAACUGGGGCUAAUACCGGAUAGGAGCUCCUGCUGCAUGGUGGGGGUUGGAAAGUUUCGGCGGUUGGGGAUGGACUCGCGGCUUAUCAGCUUGUUGGUGGGGUAGUGGCUUACCAAGGCUUUGACGGGUAGCCGGCCUGAGAGGGUGACCGGCCACAUUGGGACUGAGAUACGGCCCAGACUCCUACGGGAGGCAGCAGUGGGGAGUAUUGCACAAUGGGCGGAAGCCUGAUGCAGCAGCGCCGCGUGCGGGAUGACGGCCUUCGGGUUGUAAACCGCUUUCGCCUGUGACGAAGCGUGAGUGACGGUAAUGGGUAAAGAAGCACCGGCUAACUACGUG